rnacentral:lncRNA from 1 species
UUCCUGUUAUAUUGUUAGUUUCAUUUUGCAGUUGGAUAAAUAGGGUUAGAGAAUAGGAGGCUUUUCCAGAGUUAAGCAGCUAGAGAUAACAUCAUAAAUAUAGAAGAAAGUGGCUUCUGAAAGGUGUGUUAAAUGUGUAAAAGCUUACUUCCCUUCUCCCAUAAAAGAAGUUGGCGUAAAGGCAGUCUAGGCUUGGCAUGGUGUUUCCGAGACCAUGCUUCAAUCUUUCUCCUCCAGAAUCAUCAGACCAGUUUCUAACCUCAAGUUUACUGCAUGGUCCUACGAUGUCUGCUGGAAAGCCUGUCAUCACAUUCACAUUCCAGGCAGACAGCAGGCGCAAGUGGAUGAGGACAAAGAUCAUUUAUUCCCUCCCCUUUAAGACCCUCCUGAAAGUCAGUCACACAUGACUUUUCCCACUUCAUUGGCCAAAACUUUAUCUCUUGACCACUCCUGGCUAUAAAGCAGCUGGCAAUGCCAUCAUUUCAGGGGUUUAUAUGUGCUGUUCUAAAUACUGGGGUCUGUUCUUACGAGCAGAAAAGAAUGAGAGAAUGGAUAUUGGGAAGCAAGAGCAGCCUCUGCUCCAGCUAGAGAGGGGCAGAAAGACCCUGGUGUAUCCUCAGACUGCUGUACCCUAUGCCUGCUCACAGGACAGACAAGAGCCUUUUAAGGGUGAAGACAGGACUAGACCCCAGCCUCCUGGUCACAUGACUCAGAGAUCUCCCAUAUCCUUUUACCUUCUGUUGCAUGGAGUGGAAUGGGUCGGAGUUUGAGAUGUGGAUCUUUGUGUUAGUCUGAGACUUUUUCUGUGUGGGAGAGAUUGUAUCCUACACACAGUCUAGAAGACAUUGGGGAGGCCCUGAAGCAAUUACUAUUGCUAGAAAUAAAGUGUAGAGACAGAAGUGGGGAUGGGAUGGUACUAGAGAGUUAGGCACAAGUCGAGUGAUGAGAGGUUGAGUCUGGUCUGCACAGGAUCCUAAUAGAUCUUAACAGGCUGCAGCAAUGGUCUAAGCAUAAUGAGGCAAAACUGAAACUGAACAGGAACAGAACAUGUUACACCCGAGUCCAAAAGAAAACUAACAAGAUGCACUGAUGUGACUUAGUAUCUUCAGGAUAAAAAUGACAGAAGCACUUCAGUAAUAUCAGCCAUAAUGUGUAAGGGAGUUAUUUUGAUCUCAGCCUGCAGGAGCAGAGAAUUUCAACGAGGUGAGAGGCAUGCUUUGCCAUGCACAGGCUAGACCACACUUGUCAUGCUGCAUGUAGUUCUGAAAAGGACAGACCAAAGUUUUAAAAGGAGAGAAGCCAGGAUGGGAUUGAAGAAUCCUCAGGUUGUAUAUUUAACAUUUUUAUCAGUCACUUAGGUCACGCCUGCUUACCAAAUUUGUGGAUUACUCUAAUCUGACAGAGGUGGUAGAUACAGUGACAGGCAGAAUCAGUCAAAUAGAACAAUGAGCCAAUGCCAGGCUAUGAAAUUGAAAACAGAUCAAGGUAUCUCACCCCCAAAAAUGAUAAGUAUGUGAAGUAAUGCAUAUGUUAAUUAGCACUAUUUAGCCAUUUCAGAAAGCCUGCUUAUUUCAAACAACAUGCUGUACACAAUAAAUAUAUAUAAGAUCUGUGUCAACUAAAGAAUUAAAAUUAAAAUUAAAAGUCAAAGAAAAAAAAAGAAAAAAGUUUGGAAGAGCAAUCCAUUGUUCAAGAAAGGGAUGAGAGAGACCUGGUACAAUGGCUGUUCUAACAAAUCAGCACUUUAGUGGGCAGCAGGGCUCAUCAAAGUACCAGUGUGUCUGUGUGUGUCCCAGGCUGGUGGAUGGUGGGCUUCCAAGGAGCCUCCAGGCAGCACUGAUAUUCAUGACUUCACCCAAGCCAGGAUUUUGACCUUGGCUUUGUGGGUUUAGAUUUUCAAAGUGUUUGAGUUUCCUGGACUUGGGGAGGCUGACUCUCACUAACAAUGCUUUUAGGAGACUGCAGAUGCCGAAAGUAUUGAUUUUCAGCAUGAAUUCUACUUGUUAGGUACCUUAAACCUGAUCAGCAUACAUAUGGUUCUUCUUCCAUGUAAGAAAACCACAUGAGGAACCAAAUAAUACCUCUAAGGAGUUUUGAGGAGGAUGGAACUGAAAAGAGGGAUGUGAGUAGUGUGACUCGAAUGCUGUUAGAAGAGUCUGAUGUGUCCUUCUUCCUCAGGUGAAAGUUCUCAGACUGAAAACAUCUAGAUAACCUCUAGCUAUGCUAAGCCACAGGCACUUUUAUAGGCCUAGAACCUAUUUCGUGUCUUUAAGGUGACUUGACAGAGUGUGGUUUUGUCCUCUUAUUUUUUGACAUAUUCUGCAACUCAGGAAACAGUCUUGUUUCCCUUUCUCUAUAGCACUCGAGGUGCAUCAGUCUGCUCCUCCCUUUGCCUCAAGGUCCCACAGUGGCAAGGGGAGAGGAGACCAGUCUGGGGGGUCUGCUUAUUAAGCCUUCAUUGCUGUCUACCCCAAGAAAACUCAGAGUCACUGUCUCCUAGGCACUUCUCAGGUAGAAAGAAAUCUUUCCUUACCCUCCAAAUCUGCUAUCCUUCAGGGAUGGAUUCUCGGGUACCUUCGACCAGCUCCCUGCUCUGUUCCAGCUUCCUGGGCAUAAAGGCAAAUAAUCCCAACGUGUUUGGCUUUGACUUUUUCUCAUGGCCUCCUUUCCCAGUGGGUGGCCAUAUAUAUUCAUUCACAUGUCCAAGGGGAUUCCUCCUUCCAUCCCCCGUUUAUUGAUGUUCUUGUCACAUCUCCCUUAGGAGCUUGUUGUGUCAGUCAAGGUCCCAGCAAGAAACAGAUGGCACACUUACACUUGGAUAAUGUGAAAUGAAUUUAAUAAAGGACUACUUACAAAGCUGGGAGCAGGGCUUAGGGAAACCACGAAGAAUAGUCAAAUGCCAGAGGACUAUGAAAUCUAGGUGCUAUUGUAGGCCUGAAAGAGUGGAGAGAGGGGAAAGAGAGCCAGAAGACUGCGGGGGCUAUGCGGAAGAAACAUAGGAUUCCUGGCUUUCAACAGAACUGGCCCAUGGAAACCCCACGGCAAUAGUAAUAAAUGCCACACCCUCACUCACUUCUCUCCUUCCAAUCUCCUGCUGAUGCACAACACUGGCCAUGUGCAGUUGGUAGUCAGUGGUCAAGGGAGCCCAAGAGUGUGGUUCAGGUUCAGCUUCCCCAGGGAAUAGCAGGGUGGACAAAGAUAGAGAGUGGAUUUGGAUAGGCAAAUAGAAUAAUCCAGUAAAAACACUGAAGGCUAGACUUUGUUGUUAAUACCUGUAUUUUUUGGUUUCCCAUCCCACACAUAGUAGGUUUGCAGCAGUUGACUUGGCCAUGGAUUUCUUUGGGUAAGGAGAUGAUCUUUGAUCCCUGUAUUCCAGGGCCUAUCCCAGUACCCCCAAAAGAUGCUCCAUAAAUGUUUAUGAAAUGACUAGUGAAUGAAUGAAUGAAUAAAUGAAGUGAGCUCAGUGGGAAUUUUCCCUUAAUUUUGCUCACUGUUUCACUCCUUGGAAGUAGCCACUUCUCUGCUUCACUUGUAGGCCAGAUCCAGUUAUUAAAUUUCUAAAUUAUCCUUCUGUCUAUGGGGCUGACUCUCUAAUGAGGUCUUGUAAGUCUUUGCUUCCAUCCUCGGAGUCCAGACAAGGAGCUCUUGCCUCAGGCACAGCCUCUGUUCUCUGGGAUGUCUCACCUUUUUAGCAGGGAAGCGUUCUGUGCCAGAUGCUUAACUUGUGUCCUCCUACCAGGGAGAUUCCAUGAGGAACCUUCUCUGUUCACUUUAGGCAGAUUGGAUUGGCUUCUCCUUGCUGUACUUCUAGCUAGAUUAACUGUUAAACAAAUAUCUAUUACUUAUCUGUCAUAUUCUAGGCACUGUGCUAGGACAUGAGAAUGUUCAAGUGGGUAAGAUACAGUUUGACAUAAGGGACAAAGUGCUGCAGUCCAGAAGGAGAGAAGACAAAUAAUAAAUAAUUAUUUUACAGGGUAAUACAUGCUAUGUUAUUAUGUUAUUAUUCUAUAAUAAUUAUGGGAGCACAAUGGGUGAGGAGGGCACUGUGGGAGCCUGGGUGAGGAGCGCCAACCCACCCGGAGGCGCAAGGAAAGCUUUCUGGAGGAGUUAACACCUGAUCUUGUAGGAUGGGAAAGAGCAAGAUAUUAAAGAUAAGUGAUUCCAAGUCAAGUGGUGAGCAAGAUCAAAAUGACAGACACUUGACAUAGCAUGAUGUGUGCAAGGAAACAUGAACUAAUCUGUAUUAUUAGUGAUAACAGUUGAGGAAUGGGGGGUGAGAGGCAGAUGGAGGGGCAGGCAGGGUUUAGGGUGUGGAAGGCAUGGUAAGCUGAGCUAGGGACUUUGUAGGACAUUAACUAGAGUGAGGUGAAUAAGGCCUAUUUUAGGCACAAAAUGUAAAAGGGCUUCAAGGUCUCAGUAACUAGGAUAAGUAAUAUUAAAUGCAAUAUUUUAAACAAAAUUAAUGCAAAAACCCACAGUGAAAAAAAAAUAAAAUUUUAAGAUAAAUAGUAUUGAGUGAAUUCUUAUAAUUUCAUGUUGCUUCAGUAUCCAUUUUGAAUAUAACUUUAACUUUCUCAUACCAGAAGCAGGCUUAGUCACCCUUGGUGCAGUAUCCAGUUUUACAACUCCUCCUAGUUCCUUAAGGUGGUCAGUUCAGCUCUCUGGCUUAUAUAACUCGUGAUAGUUACCUCUCCAUGAGACAGCCAGAUACAACUGACCUAAUUAGCCCCACUGACCUCCACACCCCACAUGGACUGUGCAGGUGUGCCACAGUGGCCACCUCUUAGUCACAGCGUGACCCCCAUGAAACUAAUGCCUGCUUGUACCACCAGUUAGACCUCCCCACAGGAAACCUGCUUGAGUAACUCCCAGGACCCAAUAAAGAAUUUGGCUUACAGGUCCCCUUCUCUCUCUCUUGCUCCCCACCUGCUGGCUGAAUGCACGUGUCCUCAGUGGCUUCCCCCUUUCCAGUGACCCUGGGAGGCAUACUGCCCCCUGCACUGUGGAAUCUCUCAGCCACUUGGGUCUCCUUUGCCAAGGAGUGUCCUCCCUCUGGAACUCAAUACCAGCUCUUUCUUCUUCUGGAAUCUUCUCUCAGCUCUUUUAAGCUUAUAAAGUUGAUUCACUGACUGCUGGUUUGAAAUGGUGUCUGCUAACAAACAGUUGCUGGUACAGCUUCUCUGUAAUGUGAGGUAAAAUACCUAUAAAAGCUUAGAAGAAGAUGUAAACUCAGAACACAGCCAUAAACUUGGACUGACAAUCCCCUGAAGACUGGAUCUGGGAGGACUUUUUGCCAAUAGUACUGCCAAUGAAACUGAAAAGAAAAGAACAUUCUAUGGGUGUGGGUGUGUUACUGAGGAAAUGCUCUGUAGGCAAGAGGUAAGAAGGACUAUUAUUUUCAUUGUGCAUCUCCUGGAUGGGGAUCCCCUGGAUGAUGGGUCCCCUCAAUUGUGUAUACUUGAAUGGAUUCUCUGGUGAAAAUUGAUGACCACCCAGAACUUUAGUAUGUGCCUUUUUUUUUUUUUUUUUUUUUUGUAAAUACCUUAUCUGCAGAUACAAUGGAUUAAGAUUUAAAAUGAGACCAUACUGGGUAGGCUGGAUCCUGAAUCUAAUGAAAGCAUCUUUAUAAGGGACGGAAAGACACAUACAGUGACUCACAGACAGAAUAUGUUUCAGGCCACAUGAAGACAGACACAGAAACUGGAAUGGUGGGGUCACAAGCCAAAGAAUGCCAGGAGCCAACAAAAGCUCAAAGAGGCAAGGAAGGACUCUGUCGUAGAGACUUCAGAGAGAGCAUGCCCCUGCUGGCACUUUAUUUUGGACUGACCUCCAGAAUCGUGAGAGGAUAUAUUUUUGUUGUAUUAUGGGCAACCCUAGGAAACUAAUACAAUGGAAAACUCAAGUUUAUGCCAAGUGUUGAAAAUGGAAAUGCCUAAGAUAAUGAAAAUGAGUGGGUUGACCAGGGAGGCACAGAGGUGAAGUUGAGAGGCCACAUGGUCUAUGAAGACACAUCCAAUUGUUGUCUUCUAAGAAUGCAGACAUGGACUUGCCAAAUAUUUUUACAGUUCAGAAGAAGCUAGAAAUUUGGAUUUCAUUUGUGUGCUCUUUUUUUUUUUUUUAACAUUGCCCUAAUUUUAUUUCAAAUGUGGUACUAACCGUGUCAAACAUGUUUGAGAAAGUCAUGGGUAGCCAGUAUGGUGCCUCCUGUCUGGGUCUGUAUUAGUUUGUUCUCAUGCUGUUGAUAAUGACAUACCCGCAGCUGGGUAAUUUAUAAAGGAAAAGGGGUUUAAUGGACUCACAGUUUCACAUGGCUGGGGAAGCCUCACAAUCAUGGUGGAAGAUGAAGGAAGAGCAAAGGGACAUCUUACAUGGCACCAGGCAAAAGCGUGUGUACAGGGGAACUCCCUUUAUAAAACCAUCAGAUCUCGUGACACUUAUUCACUGUCACAUGAACAGCAUAGGAAAAACCU